AGUGAACGCUGGCGGUAGGCCUAACACAUGCAAGUCGAACGGCAGCACAGUAAGAGCUUGCUCUUACGGGUGGCGAGUGGCGGACGGGUGAGGAAUACAUCGGAAUCUACUUUUUCGUGGGGGAUAACGUAGGGAAACUUACGCUAAUACCGCAUACGACCUACGGGUGAAAGCAGGGGAUCUUCGGACCUUGCGCGAUUGAAUGAGCCGAUGUCGGAUUAGCUAGUUGGCGGGGUAAAGGCCCACCAAGGCGACGAUCCGUAGCUGGUCGGAGAGGAUGAGCAGCCACACGGGGACUGAGACACGGACCAGACUCCGACGGGCGGCAGCAGUGGGGAAUUUUGGACAAUGGGGGCAAGCCUGAUCCAGCCAUGCCGGGUGCGGGAAGAAGGCCUUCGGGUUGUAAACCGCUUUGGUUCGGGAAGAAAUCCGCCGGGCGAAUACCCCGGGGGGAUGACGGUACCGGAAGAAUAAGCACCGGCUAACUACGUG
rnacentral:rRNA from 1 species